rnacentral:lncRNA from 1 species
UUCAUUCAUGUUGCUCUUCAGCUGUCCUCCAUGGCUGGUCAAGUAAAACUGCACAGGAUGGAAUGCUUUGCGAUUUUCUGCGUAACAUCUCUGAAUUUGCUUGUGAAGCUUCUUAACAUCCUUUAGCACCAUCAAGUCAUCAAAGCUGCAGUCCACAAUGAGGCGAAGCGUGCUGGGAACGACGUCCCUUCGCAUACGCUUUCUGUCAUUCCCUUCAUUACUGGGGUCUGACUUUGACUGACGUUCUAAUUUUCUCUUCUGGCGUUUUUCUUUGCGUUUCUGCCUACGGAGAUCCUUCUGUUCUUCCCACUGCUUCUGCUUCAGUAGUUUCUUCCUCUGCCUCUUGGACAUGGGCUCGAGGCAUUCUGCCUUGUCUGUGCCUUCCUCCUGUCUUUCUACUUGCCUGUCACACGACUUCACCUUUCCUUCCACCUCAGGUGCAUCAGGGGGCAUGGUGUUUUCUGUUGCUGUUCCCGAUGACAUUAGCUUCUGGCUGGCUCACUGACUUGUAUCUCACACGCGUGAUAAAUAUGUCAUGAAAAACAAUUUUUCAUCUCACCAGUUCAGGCUCCUUCACCCCC